rnacentral:rRNA from 1 species
AGAAUCUUUCGCAAUGGACGAAAGUCUGACGAAGCGACGCCGUGUGAACGAAGAAGGCCUUCGGGUUGGAAAGUUCUUUCGCCUGGGAACAAGAGAAGAGGGAUAAUACCCCUCUGAUUCGAGGGUCCCAAGUAAAGAAGCACCGGCUAACUCAGUGCCAGCAGCUGCGGUAAUACGGAGGGUGCAAGCAUUAAUCGGAAUUAUUGGGCGUAAAGGGCGCGUAGGCGGACUUGUAAGUCAGAUGUGAAAUAUCGAGGCUCAACCUCGAUGCUGCAUUUGAAACUACAAGUCUAGAGGAUAGACGGAGAAAACGGAAUUCCACGUGUAGCGGUGAAAUGCGUGGAUAUGUGGAAGAACACCUGUGGCGAAAGCGGUUUUCUAGUUUAUUCCUGACGCUGAGGCGCGAGAGCAAGGGGAGCAAAC